rnacentral:rRNA from 1 species
UACGUAGGGCGCAAGCGUUAUCCGGAAUUAUUGGGCGUAAAGAGCUCGUAGGCGGUUUGUCGCGUCUGCUGUGAAAGACCGGGGCUCAACUCCGGUUCUGCAGUGGGUACGGGCAGACUAGAGUGCAGUAGGGGAGACUGGAAUUCCUGGUGUAGCGGUGAAAUGCGCAGAUAAUCAGGAGGAACACCGAUGGCGAAAGGCAGGUCUCUGGGCUGUAACUGACGCUGAGGAGCGAAAAGCAUGGGGGAGCGAACAGGG